rnacentral:tRNA from 1 species
AAUAAAGUGGCUGAAAGUAUUAAGCGGUGGAUUGUAAAUUCAUACAUAAGUAGUUACUUCUUUAUUA